CCACAGGAACCUGUCAACAUCGAGGAAGGGGAUGGCUAUUCCAAAGUUAUAAAGCGUGUUGUAUUGAAGAGUGACACCGAGCAGUCAGAGCUUUGAGUUACACAGGUAGCCACAUGAAAGUCCACUUACCCAGUUUAGUAGAGAAUGAAAUCCUGAAAGAGGAUGGAUCAAUAAUUAAAAGACAACAAUGAGUAAAGCCAUCACACAGAAGAGGGCUGUGGUGAAGGACCAGCAUGGAAA
rnacentral:lncRNA from 1 species